CUGCAUUGUUGUUGUCAACCCCCUGUACCCUAAAAGAGUGUGGAGAGGAAUGUUUUGCUUUGUAUAAAAUGUCAGUGCUGCUAUGAAGUGCCUGGCACUGCUGAUUACAGGAGUAGCAGAAGAUGAAACUUCCAAGUACAAAACACCUGGCAGUUCUUAGAAGACCAAACUAUAUUACUUUAAAGUGAAAUGGAGUGGAGUGAAACCUCAAGUUUUAAAGCAGUGUAUAUGAAAUUUUCUUUUUCAGUGAUUAAGUUCUGUGAUCCAGUGCAGUGAAAUUCUAAAAAUUGAGAGGAGGAAUUAUCGAGGAGUCCCAGCCAUUUCUCCAUUCAGGGAUUGCAUGAAAAUAUGAUACCCACUCUUAAUUUGCUGUAAACUCCUUGGUGAUUCAGAGAGGAAAUAGGCUGCCCAGUCACAGGGUGGCUCUGGAGAAGGAGCCUCUCAAAGAACCAUCAAAGUGGAAGCAGCCAAGCAAACACAUUUUGAAGUGACAG